rnacentral:rRNA from 1 species
GUAGGUGGCAAGCGUUGUCCGGAAUUAUUGGGCGUAAAGCGCGCGCAGGCGGUUCUUUAAGUCUGAUGUGAAAGCCCACGGCUCAACCGUGGAGGGUCAUUGGAAACUGGAGAACUUGAGUACAGAAGAGGAAAGCGGAAUUCCACGUGUAGCGGUGAAAUGCGUAGAGAUGUGGAGGAACACCAGUGGCGAAGGCGGCUUUCUGGUCUGUAACUGACGCUGAGGCGCGAAAGCGUGGGGAGCAAACAGGAUUAGAUACCCUGGUAGUCCACGCCGUAAACGAUGAGUGCUAAGUGUUAGGGGGUUUCGCCCCCUUAGUGCUGCAGCUAACGCAUUAAGCACUCCGCCCUGGGAGUACGGCCGCAAGGCUG